GUGUGUGUGUGAGAGAGAGAGAGAGAGAGAGAGAGAGAGAGAAACUUUGCAAAGGCUGUAGAUGAGGAGGGAGGAUUGGAGAGGGGGAGGAGAGAGGGAGGGAAGGAGGGGAGGCUUCUCUCUCUCUCUCUCUCUCUCUCUCUCUCUCUCUCUUUCUUUCUCU